rnacentral:rRNA from 1 species
UACAGAGACUGCAAGCGUUAUUCGGAUUCACUGGGCGUAAAGGGUGCGCAGGCGGUUGGGUGUGUCAGAUGUGAAAUCCCGAGGCUCAACCUCGGAACUGCGUCUGAAACUACUCGACUAGAGUACUGGAGAGAGUAACGGAAUUCACGGUGUAGCAGUGAAAUGCGUAGAUAUCGUGAGGAACACCAGAGGCGAAGGCGGUUACCUGGACAGUUACUGACGCUCAGGCACGAAAGCAUGGGGAGCAAAAGGG